UCCAAAGCCCAAAUACCAAGUCCAUAACCCAUAUGAUUUUUAGCCAAAAGAAAAAAAAAUAAAAACAAAAAAGAGAAAGGGGGUGAAAACUGAUUUCACUUCACCAUCUCCCUCCCUCCUUCUUCGUCUGAUUCACAACACACAAGAACCAAGAUUUUCAACACCUUCCUCUCCUCCGAAGUUCUUCGUCUAAUUCACAACACACAAGAACCAAGAUCUUCAACACAAAAAUUUCAGCUUUGUCGUAAAUAGUUGAAUUUCAGUCCACAUUUCAGACAUUAGGGGCAAUUUUUUUUUCAAAAGCUAAACCAUAGUCCUCACACCUCACACAUCCACCAUUAGAUUUCUGACCAAAAAUCCUCCUAUAAAUACUGAAUUCUACUCACCAUAUUACUCAAGCAAACAAUCUCAAAAGACUCUGAUUUCGUAGACGAGGAAUAUCAAGAGUGCUAAUACGUUCGUGAAUUUAACUUUUGGGCACGCGUCACGAGGUGUACGUGGCUUGUGUUGUUGCUAGCACCUUGAAUUGCAUUGUCUAUACGUGGAUUAAUUAAGCACUUAAGUGAAUCAUGUAAAAAAGAUGGCAUAUCUGGGGUGUAUGGAUUUUGUGAUCCUAAUUAUCUGGCUCCAUGGACUCCAACUAUAGAAGAAGACCGAUCUGACUAUUUAUGUCGUGUUUUCGGGUGCAAUGGAAGCAAGAACCUUAAUCAACUACUUUUUGCACCUUUCCAUGAAAAACGACAUUGGAUGCUAGCUGCCAUAAGCCCUUGGAAUGGAACAGUUUUUGGCUUGAUCCUAGUGGAGCAGACUAUAUCCGUGAAUUCGCUGAACGGAUCAUCAAUGAAGGUAUUGUAAAAUUUAGCAUGGUUCAUCGAAAGGACGUCAAGAAAUUGAAAAAGAAUCCUGUAAGGUGGAACAAGAUACAGUUUCCUCGUCAAGCUCUGAACUGCAAUGAUUGUGGCUAUUAUGUUUGUCGUUACAUGAUUGAAACUAUCCAAGUAGACGGCAAUUAAUUCCUGAUAAGUACUUUCCAGAGAUUCUUAGCACUUAUUCCCAAGAGAUGAUUGACGAGUUAAGAGAUAUGUGGUUGGAUUAUUUAACAAUUAAACACAAGACGAUGGAGAUUGAAGACGACGGUCAAGUUUGAAUUGUACAUAUUAUUUGAUUAUUUUAGAAUUUUAGUUUUAGUAGCUAGCAUUAUAUUAUAGAAACUUUAUUUUAAGAGAAUAAAAUUGGUUUUUUAUAUAAAUUAAAUGUAGCAAAUA